rnacentral:rRNA from 1 species
AUGGCGUUCGCUGACGAGUACAAGGCCGUGGAGGCCGUGGAGGCCUACGGUAACACCAAGUUGCACGUCAUCCACACCAACGACAAGAAGCAGGUGGCGAUCUCCCUUGCGCAGUACGAGCGCCACCUCAGCCUCCAGCGCCACAAGAUCGUCGGCAUUGAUCUCGAGUACAACAACGAGCCUGAAGCGACGCAGAAACCCGCCCUCUGCCAACUCUCCGUCAGCAAGAAACACUCGGUGCUGCUCUUCCAACUUAGCGUUGCUAAAAGGUGCACCGUCUUCGACAACUUCCUCGCCGAACCUAGGUACACCUUUGCAGGCUUCUCCAUCAACGGCGACAAAAAAAGGCUAGAUCGCGUCAAUCUGGAGAAGAAGAUCACCGACAACGAGCACAAGCGCUGGGCCACCCUGCCUCUGUCCAUGAGGCACAUUGAGUACGCGGCAAAGGACGCCUACGCAGCAACAAACACGAGAGAGCAGAGGAUAGUCAUGGCGGAUGCACCUCUUUACAAGCAGCGCCGCAGGUACACUAGGGAGCUCCACGACGUCGAUCUACAUGGCAACCACAAGCUCCACGUCUUUGCACAAGCAAGGGUGAAGACAUGGACAAGAUGA